CCUACGGGAGGCAGCAGUAAGGAAUAUUGGUCAAUGGAGGCAACUCUGAACCAGCCAUGCCGCGUGCAGGAAGACUGCCCUAUGGGUUGUAAACUGCUUUUAUCCGGGAAUAAACCUGCUUACGUGUAAGUAGCUGAAUGUACCGGAAGAAUAAGGAUCGGCUAACUCCGUGCCAGCAGCCGCGGUAAUACGGAGGAUCCAAGCGUUAUCCGGAUUUAUUGGGUUUAAAGGGUGCGUAGGCGGCCUGUUAAGUCAGGGGUGAAAGACGGUAGCUCAACUAUCGCAGUGCCCUUGAUACUGAUGGGCUUGAAUGGACUAGAGGUAGGCGGAAUGAGACAAGUAGCGGUGAAAUGCAUAGAUAUGUCUCAGAACACCGAUUGCGAAGGCAGCUUACUAUGGUCUUAUUGACGCUGAGGCACGAAAGCGUGGGGAUCAAACAGGAUUAGAUACCCUGGUAGUCCACGCCCUAAACGAUGAACACUCGCUGUUGGCGAUACACAGUCAGCGGCUAAGCGAAAGCGUUAAGUGUUCCACCUGGGGAGUACGCCCGCAGGGUGAACUCAAGGAUUGACGGCUGAGAGNGCGAGGCGACGACGAGGGAGGAGG
rnacentral:rRNA from 1 species